GCCUGCCCUGACGAGCCGCGCUCCUAGCACGCACCUGCGCACGAGCCAUCUCCCGCCUCCUUUUCCCGCCGACUGAGAGGGCGGGGAAAGGGCCGGGAAGGGCGCAUGCGCAGUGGCAGCGACUAAGGUUUAGUGAGGCGGCACCGCGCGGCCCGAGGCGGGUCUUGAAGCACUCGUUUUCCCACUCGUUUUCCGGGGUUCCCCCGCGGUGGGACAGUGAGCAGUUCAGGGCGCCGCAGCCGAGGCCUUCCUCCAGGAAAGGUUUGCUGGCUCCUGCCUUAGAAGAUGAGAAAGUUUGUGAUGGAUGGAGAAGAGGAUCUUCCAGAAAAUAACCAGGGCUUUCCAGCCACUGGAUCCAAAGGUGAAGAAGAAGUCGUGACUUGAGCACAUCUGCUUCUUUCUCCUGGCUUCUUGGGUUAUUUGCAGUGUCCUCUCUCUCUUUACUUCCUAAGCUUUAAAAAUUAAAGGUCUGUGAUUCCAACUAUAUGACACUGGGGAACGGGGAAACUGUGGGGAUGGCAGAAGGAUUAGAGGUUGCUGCAGACUGGGGUGGGGAGGGAAAGCUGGGUAGGCAGAACAUGGAGGAUGUGUAGGACUGUGAAAGGACUCUGCGUGACACUGUGAUGGGGGACACAUGUCAUUAUAGGUUUGUCCAAACUGUCGAAUGUACAACACCAAGAGUGAGCCCUGAUGUUGACUGUGGACUCUGGGGGGUGAUGCUGGCUCCGCGGAGGGUCACGGGUCAUGAGCAAUGCACCGCUGUGUGGGGGAGGUGAAUGGUGGGAGAGGCGGUGGGGAGCGGGGCUGGGGGUGUAGAACAACUCUCUGUACUUUCUACUCAAUUUUGC
rnacentral:lncRNA from 10 species